AGGGAAUAUUGGGCAAUGGGCGAGAGCCUGACCCAGCCAUGCCGCGUGCAGGAAGAAGGCUUUCUGAGUCGUAAACUGCUUUUGACAGGGAAGAAUAAGGCCUACGUGUAGGCUGAUGACGGUACCUGCAGAAUAAGCACCGGCUAACUCCGUGCCAGCAGCCGCGGUAAUACGGAGGGUGCGAGCGUUGUCCGGAUUUAUUGGGUUUAAAGGGUGCGUAGGCGGUUCUUUAAGUCCGGGGUGAAAGCCCGCUGCUCAACAGCGGAACUGCCCUGGAUACUGGAGAACUUGAGUACGGACGAGGUUGGCGGAAUGGACCGAGUAGCGGUGAAAUGCAUAGAUACGGUCCAGAACCCCGAUUGCGAAGGCAGCUGACUAGGCUGUUACUGACGCUGAGGCACGAAAGCGUGGGGAGCGAAC
rnacentral:rRNA from 1 species